rnacentral:rRNA from 1 species
GUGGAUUAGAUACCCGAGUAGUCCACGCCGUAAACGAUGAGAACUAGGUGUUGGGACGGUUAAUCGUCUCAUUGCCGCAGCUAACGCAUUAAGUUCUCCGCCUGGGGAGUACGGUCGCAAGAUUAAAACUCAAAGGAAUUGACGGGGGCCCGCACAAGCGGUGGAGUAUGUGGUUUAAUUCGACGCAACGCGAAGAACCUUACCUGGUCUUGACAUCCCGGGAAUCUGCUGGAAACAGUGGAGUGCCUCGCAAGAGGAGCCUGGUGACAGGUGCUGCACGGCCGUCGUCAACU